rnacentral:lncRNA from 1 species
UAGCUCCUGAACGCGGCAUGAGACACAGAGUUUCAAAAACCAGAACGUUUUCCUAAAUUGCAACAAAAAAAAACAUCUAAACACAUUCCCAUGACUGUCAUAUAAGGUCCAAUGAGCUAGUCUAUGCCUACUGUGACCAGAGACAAUAUGGGAGUGUCUGAGAUGAGGUAUGGAAAGUGAAACUUAAGGAAAGGGAUAGCCUCAUUUAGCCAGUCCCAUGACUGCUGAAACUCUUCACUAGGAAAGACAUCACAUCCUAGACAGAGCACACCAUGGGUGUCCAGGGAUUUCCCAGUGCUGCAGAACAGAUGCAGCUAGACACCCUGCAUCAGGCUCCAAGGUCAGUGCAGCUUAAGGUAUUUUUGGAGACACUUGGUGUGUCCCAGUCCACUUUGAGCGGUGUCCCGCCUCAUCUGCGUCUUCCUGUUUAGAUAUAGAGACGUUCUGCUCAACUCUUUAAUGUUUUUAUUGUUCUUAUAUGUACCUUUUAUGACUUCAUUUACAUUUGUAUUUAGAAUUAACUAGCAUUAACUAUAAAAUAAGUUUAUGAAAGAUAGAUGUAUAUUUUAUAAAUGUUUAAAGACAUUAAAGUUUGUAAUAUAUAUGUAAUAUAUAUAAUAUAAGUUUAUAAUAUAAUAUAAAAAAAUAUAUAUAUAAAAACGUUUGACUGUUUAAUGUGUUUUUAUUUCUUUGCUCUCUACUGUAAAGCGUAUUUUGGUCUUUGAAAAUAGCUCUAUAAAUCCCAAUUAUUGUUACGAUUAUAUUACUACUGCUCCUGAAAUAUUUUAUCAUCAUUUUAUCAUCAAAAUGAAAAAUAACAUUUUAACCAGCUGUUCUUGAGAAUGAUUGGGUAUACACACUUAAGUCUAUCACUGCUUUGGCAGUAUAUUUUAUAUGGAAAUCUUAAACUGAACAAAUGUUUUACCUCAAUCUGAGCAAAAAUGUGUUACGUCAGUGACGCUGAAAACGUGUGACACUCAAACCCUUCCCCAGUUAGCAGACACUUAAAAAUAAUUACAAAAAUGUAAAUGCACUGUACCAGUCAAAGAUUUGGACACACCUACUCAUUCAAGGGUUUUUAUUUAUUUUUUACUAUUUUCUACAUUGUAGAAUAAUUGUGAAGACAUCAAAACUAUGAAAUAACACAUAUGGAACCAUGUAGUAACCCAAAAAAUGGUUAAACAAAUGACUUUGCCUUGAUGACAGCUUUGUACACUCUUGGCAUUCCUGUCUCUCUUGACUAAGAGUUGAGGAAACACUGACUUCUUGUUUUUAUAAGAAACAUUAAUGUGUUGUAAAUUCCAAAUUGUUUGCAUAGUCAACUUACACACAGCACUGACACAC